rnacentral:rRNA from 1 species
AACCACCGGGAUUGCCUUAGUAACGGCGAGUGAAGCGGCAAAAGCUCAAAUUUGAAAUCUGGCGUCUUCGACGUCCGAGUUGUAAUUUGAAGAAGGCGACUUUGUAGCUGGUCCUUGUCUAUGUUCCUUGGAACAGGACGUCAUAGAGGGUGAGAAUCCCGUGUGGCGAGGAUCCCAGUUAUUUGUAAAGUGCUUUCGACGAGUCGAGUUGUUUGGGAAUGCAGCUCUAAGUGGGUGGUAAAUUCCAUCUAAAGCUAAAUAUUGGCGAGAGACCGAUAGCGAACAAGUACAGUGAUGGAAAGAUGAAAAGAACUUUGAAAAGAGAGUGAAAAAGUACGUGAAAUUGUUGAAAGGGAAGGGCAUUUGAUCAGACAUGGCGUUUGCUUCGGCUUUCGCUGGGCCAGCAUCAGUUUUAGCGGUUGGAUAAAUCCUUCGGGAAUGUGGCUCUGCUUCGGUAGAGUGUUAUAGCCCGUGGGAAUACAGCCAGCUGGGACUGAGGAUUGCGACUUUUGUCAAGGAUGCUG